rnacentral:rRNA from 1 species
GACGAACGCUGGUGGCGUGCUUAACACAUGCAAGUCGAACGGAAAGGCCCUGCUUUUGUGGGGUGCUCGAGUGGCGAACGGGUGAGUAACACGUGAGUAACCUGCCCUUGACUUUGGGAUAAUUUCAGGAAACUGGGGCUAAUACCGGAUAGGAGCUCCUGCUGCAUGGUGGGGGUUGGAAAGUUUCGGCGGUUGGGGAUGGACUCGCGGCUUAUCAGCUUGUUGGUGGGGUAGUGGCUUACCAAGGCUUUGACGGGUAGCCGGCCUGAGAGGGUGACCGGCCACAUUGGGACUGAGAUACGGCCCAGACUCCUACGGGAGGCAGCAGUGGGGAAUAUUGCACAAUGGGCGGAAGCCUGAUGCAGCAACGCCGCGUGCGGGAUGACGGCCUUCGGGUUGUAAACCGCUUUCGCCUGUGACGAAGCGUGAGUGACGGUAAUGGGUAAAGAAGCACCGGCUAACUACGUGCCAGCAGCCGCGGUGAUACGUAGGGUGCGAGCGUUGUCCGGAUUUAUUGGGCGUAAAGGGCUCGUAGGUGGUUGAUCGCGUCGGAAGUGUAAUCUUGGGGCUUAACCCUGAGCGUGCUUUCGAUACGGGUUGACUUGAGGAAGGUAGGGGAGAAUGGAAUUCCUGGUGGAGCGGUGGAAUGCGCAGAUAUCAGGAGGAACACCAGUGGCGAAGGCGGUUCUCUGGGCCUUUCCUGACGCUGAGGAGCGAAAGCGUGGGGAGCGAACAGGCUUAGAUACCCUGGUAGUCCACGCUGUAAACGGUGGGUACUAGGUGUGGGGUCCAUUCCACGGGUUCCGUGCCGUAGCUAACGCUUUAAGUACCCCGCCUGGGGAGUACGGCCGCAAGGCUAAAACUCAAAGGAAUUGACGGGGCCCCGCACAAGCGGCGGAGCAUGCGGAUUAAUUCGAUGCAACGCGUAGAACCUUACCUGGGUUUGACAUGGAUCGGGAGUGCUCAGAGAUGGGUGUGCCUCUUUUGGGGUCGGUUCACAGGUGGUGCAUGGCUGUCGUCAGCUCGUGUCGUGAGAUGUUGGGUUAAGUCCCGCAACGAGCGCAACCCUUGUUCACUGUUGCCAGCACGUUAUGGUGGGGACUCAGUGGAGACCGCCGGGGUCAACUCGGAGGAAGGUGGGGAUGACGUCAAGUCAUCAUGCCCCUUAUGUCCAGGGCUUCACGCAUGCUACAAUGGCUGGUACAGAGAGUGGCGAGCCUGUGAGGGUGAGCGAAUCUCGGAAAGCCGGUCUCAGUUCGGAUUGGGGUCUGCAACUCGACCUCAUGAAGUCGGAGUCGCUAGUAAUCGCAGAUCAGCAACGCUGCGGUGAAUACGUUCCCGGGGCU